UACAGAGGUCUCAAGCGUUGUUCGGAUUCAUUGGGCGUAAAGGGUGCGUAGGUGGCGAGGUAAGUUGGAUGUGAAAUCCCAGGGCUUAACCCUGGAACUGCAUUCAAUACUGCCUUGCUAGAGUACUGGAGAGGAGAUUGGAAUUUACGGUGUAGCAGUGAAAUGCGUAGAUAUCGUAAGGAAGACCAGUGGCGAAGGCGGAUCUCUGGACAGUUACUGACACUGAGGCACGAAGGCCAGGGGAGCAAACGGG
rnacentral:rRNA from 1 species